rnacentral:sRNA from 1 species
UUCCAUAUGGAACUGUUUAUGUAGAUACUCCGUUUCCUAU